GACGAACGCUGGCGGCGUGCUUAACACAUGCCAGUCGAACGGAAAGGCCCUGCUUUUGUGGGGUGCUCGAGUGGCGAACGGGUGAGUAACACGUGAGUAACCUGCCCUUGACUUUGGGAUAACUUCAGGAAACUGGGGCUAAUACCGGAUAGGAGCUCCUGCUGCAUGGUGGGGGUUGGAAAGUUUCGGCGGUUGGGGAUGGACUCGCGGCUUAUCAGCUUGUUGGUGGGGUAGUGGCUUACCAAGGCUUUGACGGGUAGCCGGCCUGAGAGGGUGACCGGCCACAUUGGGACUGAGAUACGGCCCAGACUCCUACGGGAGGCAGCAGUGGGGAAUAUUGCACAAUGGGCGGAAGCCUUAUGCAGCAACGCCGCGUGCGGGAUGACGGCCUUCGGGUUGUAAACCGCUUUCGCCUGUGACGAAGCGUGAGUGACGGUAAUGGGUAAAGAAGCACCGGCUAACUACGUG
rnacentral:rRNA from 1 species